UUGUUCGCCGGCUAUCAGGAAUUAUAUAAAAGGAUAAUGUCUUGGUCCUCUAGAUGUCAUUGUGAUGUAGCAACGAUCCAGAAAUUCAGAUGCAGAAAUAUGGAAGUAGAUUACAGAAGUAGACCGGCAUAGGGUUUCAAGUUUCAACCUAAAAGUGCGCAUAUUACAGAAGUAGAUUUACCCCGGUAACUGCUUGUAUUUGAAAAUUGGCUUGGUGAAAUGAUGUAAAGUUGUAUGCCUUCAAAUUGUGUAACUACUGUUCUCGAUCAAGGCAAAAAAUUUCCCGGUAGGACAUUCUCUGUGAAAGAGUUAAUUAGAAACCAGAUAAUCAAAGCUUGGUUCAUCAAUUUAUACUCCUUUUUUUCUGUGCCUAUAAACUAGGUCAUGCACUGCAUUCUGAUUUUGUUCGCCGGCUAUCAGGAAUUAUAUAAAAGGAUAAUGUCUUGGUCCUCUAGAUGUCAUUGUGAUGUAGCAACGAUCCAGAAAUUCAGAUGCAGAAAUAUGGAAGUAGAUUACAGAAGUAGACCGGCAUAGGGUUUCAAGUUUCAACCUAAAAGUGCGCAUAUUACAGAAGUAGAUUUACCCCGGUAACUGCUUGUAUUUGAAAAUUGGCUUGGUGAAAUGAUGUAAAGUUGUAUGCCUUCAAAUUGUGUAACUACUGUUCUCGAUCAAGGCAAAAAAUUUCCCGGUAGGAC
rnacentral:lncRNA from 1 species